rnacentral:rRNA from 1 species
CCAAGGAGUCUAACAUGUGCGCAAGUCAUGGGGUUGUACGAAACCUAAAGGCGCAAUGAAAGUGAAGGCAGCCUCGGGUUUGCCUAGGUAGGAUCCUUCUCAUUUAGAGGGGGCGCACUACCGGCCCGUCUCGUCUGCAUUGCAGUGAGGCGGAGCAAGAGCGUACACGUUGGGACCCGAAAGAUGGUGAACUAUGCCUGAGUAGGACGAAGCCAGAGGAAACUCUGGUGGAAGUCCGUAGCGAUUCUGACGUGCAAAUCGAUCGUCAAACUUGGGUAUAGGGGCGAAAGACUAAUCGAACCAUCUA